CGUCCUCUGUGAACUCCUGGACGAUCUAUAAAUACCCUCUCAGUACUUUGAAUCUUCACACGUCCUCUUUAAACCCUCUUAUUUUCCAAUUUACUAGAUCCAAAACCGAUAAACUCGGCACAGUCAAAUCAUCAUCUACUUCACAGAAAUGGCAAAGCAAAAGAUUGUGGUGAAGGUCACAAUGAACAACGAAAAGAAAAUCCGUAAGGCUCUGAAAAUCGCAGUUAGUCUCUCUGGUGUUGAAUCAGCAUCUUUCGUUGGAUUAGAUAAAACCCAAAUCGCUGUGACUGGGAACAUGUCGACUCAGUUAAACUGGCGAACUUGCUAAGGAAAGGUGUUGGAUACACAGAGCUAGUGAGUGUUGUGUUAACCUUGGGCCUAUUAGACACACACACACACUUGCACACAGCAGAUUAGGCAAAGCAAAAUACAGAGGAAGUUUUGGUUACACACAACUGAUGUGUAUUAUUCUCUGAAGACUUGAAUACAAAAGGAAAUUAUCACA